rnacentral:rRNA from 1 species
GUAGUCCACGCCGUAAACGAUGCUAACUCGUUUUUGGGUCUUCGGAUUCAGAGACUAAGCGAAAGUGAUAAGUUAGCCACCUGGGGAGUACGUUCGCAAGAAUGAAACUCAAAGGAAUUGACGGGGGCCCGCACAAGCGGUGGAGCAUGUGGUUUAAUUCGAUGAUACGCGAGGAACCUUACCAAGACUUAAAUGGGAAAUGACAGGUUUAGAAAUAGAUCCUUCUUCGGACAUUUUUCAAGGUGCUGCAUGGUUGUCGUCAGCUCGUGCCGUGAGGUGUUAGGUUAAGUCCUGCAACGAGCGCAACCCCUGUCACUAGUUGCUAACAUUCAGUUGAGGACUCUAGUGAGACUGCCUACGCAAGUAGAGA